rnacentral:rRNA from 1 species
UGGGGAAUAUUGGACAAUGGGCGAAAGCCUGAUCCAGCCAUGCCGCGUGUGUGAAGAAGGUCUUCGGAUUGUAAAGCACUUUCAGUUGGGAGGAAGGGCAUUAACCUAAUACGUAGUGUUUUGACGUUACCGACAGAAUAAGCACCGGCUAACUCUGUGCCAGCAGCCGCGGUAAUACAGAGGGUGCAAGAGUUAAUCGGAAUUACUGGGCGUAAAGCGCGCGUAGGUGGUUUGUUAAGUUGGAUGUGAAAUCCCCGGGCUCAACCUGGGAACUGCAUUCAAAACUGACUGACUAGAGUAUGGUAGAGGGUGGUGGAAUUUCCUGUGUAGCGGUGAAAUGCGUAGAUAUAGGAAGGAACACCAGUGGCGAAGGCGACCACCUGGACUAAUACUGACACUGAGGUGCGAAAGCGUGGGGAGCAAACA